rnacentral:rRNA from 1 species
UCGAGAAUCUUCGGCAAUGGGCGCAAGCCUGACCGAGCGACGCCGCGUGCGGGAUGAAGGCCCUCGGGUUGUAAACCGCUGUCGUAGGGGAGGAAAUGCCGGUGGGUACUCUCAUCGGUUUGACCUAUCCUAGGAGGAAGGACGGGCUAAGUUCGUGCCAGCAGCCGCGGUAAUACGAACCGUCCAAACGUUACUCGGAAUCACUGGGCUUAAAGGGUGCGUAGGCCGCGCGGAGGGUGGGAUGUGAAAUCCCCCGGCUCAACCGGGGAAUAGCGUCCCAAACCGCCGUGCUCGAGGGAGACAGAGGUGAGCGGAACUGAUGGUGGAGCGGUGAAAUGCGUUGAUAUCAUCAGGAACACCUGUGGCGAAAGCGGCUCACUGGGUCUUUCCUAACGCUGAGGCACGAAAGCUAGGGGAGCGAACGG